UACCAUUUAGUGGGGAAUAACUGUUGGAAACGACAGCUAAUACCGCAUAAUAUUGCUGGAUAAUUUCCAGUAAUGAAAGGAGCUUUCAAGCUCCGCUGAUUGAUGAGGAUGCGGCGCAUUAGCUAGUUGGUAGGGUAAUGGCCUACCAAGGCAAUGAUGCGUAGCCGAUCUGAGAGGAUGAACGGCCACAUUGGGACUGAGACACGGCCCAAACUUCUACGGAAGGCAGCAGUAGGGAAUUUUUCACAAUGGGCGAAAGCCUGAUGGAGCAAUGCCGCGUGACUGAUGAAGGUCUUCGGAUUGUAAAGGUCUGUUGUAAGGGAAGAAAUGGUAAAACAGGAAAUGGUUUUAUCUAUGACGGUACCUUACCAGAAAGCCACGGCUAACUAUGUGCCAGCAGCCGCGGUAAUACAUAGGUGGCAAGCGUUAUCCGGAUUUAUUGGGCGUAAAGGGUGCGUAGACGGUUUUGCAAGUCUGAGGUUAAAUUUAGGAGCUCAACUCCUAAUCNCCUUGNAAACUACAAGACUAGAGUAUAGGAGAGGUUAGUGGAAUUCCAUGUGUAGCGGUGGAAUGUGUAGAUAUAUGGAGGAACACCAGUGGCGAA
rnacentral:rRNA from 1 species